rnacentral:rRNA from 1 species
CAGUCGAGCGGUAGCAGGGAGAAAGCUUGCUUUCUCCGCUGACGAGCGGCGGACGGGUGAGUAAUGUCUGGGGAUCUGCCUGAUGGAGGGGGAUAACUACUGGAAACGGUAGCUAAUACCGCAUAACGUCGCAAGACCAAAGUGGGGGACCUUCGGGCCUCAUGCCAUCAGAUGAACCCAGAUGGGAUUAGCUAGUAGGUGGGGUAAUGGCUCACCUAGGCGACGAUCCCUAGCUGGUCUGAGAGGAUGACCAGCCACACUGGAACUGAGACACGGUCCAGACUCCUACGGGAGGCAGCAGUGGGGAAUAUUGCACAAUGGGCGCAAGCCUGAUGCAGCCAUGCCGCGUGUAUGAAGAAGGCCUUCGGGUUGUAAAGUACUUUCAGUAGGGAGGAAGGUGUGAACGUUAAUAGCGCUCACAAUUGACGUUACCUACAGAAGAAGCACCGGCUAACUCCGUGCCAGCAGCCGCGGUAAUACGGAGGGUGCAAGCGUUAAUCGGAAUUACUGGGCGUAAAGCGCACGCAGGCGGUUUGUUAAGUUGGAUGUGAAAUCCCCGGGCUUAACCUGGGAACUGCAUCCAAGACUGGCAAGCUAGAGUCUCGUAGAGGGAGGUAGAAUUCCAGGUGUAGCGGUGAAAUGCGUAGAGAUCUGGAGGAAUACCGGUGGCGAAAGCGGCCUCCUGGACGAAGACUGACGCUCAGGUGCGAAAGCGUGGGGAGCAAACAGGAUUACAUACCCUGGUAGUCC